AUCUUUUAAAGCCGUCAGAUUGGUUAUGAAGAGCUGAUCGGACGAUGAGAGAAAACUUCCUUCAAAGAUACCCCAUUCACUCCUUCAGAGUUCUAACCUAACUUAGAUCGAGAUCUGGAGGUUUCUCCCCUCAUCUCUCUCUCUCCACACCCGAAAGCUCGGUUCUCAUACUCAUUUACUCAGUUUUGAGUUUUGAAAAUUGAAACCAAAAGCUUAUCGAUCUCUUUCUCUUCCUUGUUCCACCAACCACUCAUAUCGGUUCUCUCACCUCCUCUUCCUCCCAAAAUCACUAAAAUUUGUUUCUCUGGAGCGAUCCAUCCUUCCCCAAUAGCAGAUUCUGUGGUCCAAAUUCAUUACAGUAUUUGAAUCUAGGGUUAUACUGUAAAAUUUAUUAUUUGUCGAUCAUUUGACUCAGUUUUUUUAUUUGUAUUUGGGGAUCUUAGGAGUAGGAUAAACUGAUUUUAGGGUUCAAUUGGGUUUAGGUUUUUCUUUUCUGAUCUGAUCUUUUGAUUUUAGGGUUAACGGUUACUCUUUCUACUCAAUCUCAUUACACACCCUUUCUCUUUACAUUUCAGUAAGGGGACGUUUAUUUUGGAGACAAAGGUGGGCUGAUCUAUGUGCGUUUGGCAACUCUGGUAGAGAUCCAUGUUGGUCAGAUUGCAAACGGAACCUUCUUUUGAAUUGUUUCAUGGGCGAAGAAGUUCUUGUGCCGGCCACACCUACCUAUUAUUUUGGCAGGAGUUUUGCUUGCAUGGAAGCCUCGGAUGACCGUCUCUCUGAUCAUUUUCUCACCUAUUCCACCUUUGAAUAUGAAGGGUAACUGUGUUCAACAAAUGAAAUUUAGUUUCAAUGUAGAGAGUUGAGCAAUGCCAUAUAUCUUGAGAAGGCCAAGUAUUGGGACACUUCAAAGCUUCAAGUCAUAUCCUUCUUGCUGAAGGCUUUAUUCAAAGAAGAGAUGCGUGCAGAUUGUUUCAUGUGUAAGCGAUAGCUCGUUACAAUUUUCUGUAUUGGGCAAUGUAAUUGUUUUUUGUUCACUUUCUGCAGUUGCAUUUAGAGAAGGGAAUGAUGGACUGCCCACAUGCAAAGUGCACUCCUUGUAUCAGAUUGUAAUGGCAGAGCUUGAGAAGUUGGGUCAGAAAUAUCGUGUGGCUCUGAGGCUGUCCGUAUCAAAGGAGUUGCAGCUGUGGGAUGAAUAGUCUUGAUGUUUGUAUUUUGAUGGGUGCAACUGUAAAUUCCUAGUUCGUAUAUUUAUUGUAUGAUACAUUUUAAAAUAUAGUACAGGGUACAAUACAAGAAUGUAGAGGUGCCAAUUGGCACCUUAUUUUUUUAAUCCAACCUCAUAAAUUUGCCACUGAUAACAGUGACAUUCCAAAGCCACUAAUAUCAGUGUGGAUUUAGAUUC